ACCACAUCUGCACAAAGUGCUCAAUAUGAGGUGUACCAUGGAUUUAUAAAGAGGCAAUAAGAUCAUUUAUGAAUAUGUUGAGGAGAACUGGCUCCAAACCAGACCUCUGGAGCACACGACUAAUUACCUCUCUCCAUUCUGAAAACUGACUAUUUAUUUCUACCCUUAAUUUCCUAUCUUUUAACUAGUUGUCAGUCCCUCUCAUCCCAUGAUAGCGUAUUUUAUUUAGGAGCCUUUGGUGAGGGACUUUGUCAAAGGCUUUCUGGAAAUGGAUUUGGAACAUCAGAGGAGAGAAGAAGUGGAAGCCUGUACCGCUUUUAUAAUGGUAUUCCCCAACAUAAUAUCUGGUGCAUGAUAUCAAAACAAGAUGUAAAACUUAAUAUAUACAUACAGUAGACUCUCAGAAUUGAGGGAUUAAACUGACCGGACAAAUUACAAACUGACCGGACAACCACGCACCUCAUUUGAAACAGAAAGUACGCAAUCAGGCAGCAGCAGAGCCAAAAAGAAAUCAGUGCUGUGCUGUGUAAACUGUAAACUACUAAAAAUAAAGAGAAAGUUUUAAAAAGAUUU